rfam:Vigna radiata var. radiata cultivar VC1973A scaffold_7, whole genome shotgun sequence
GCCGAUUUAGCUUAGAGGUCAGAGCAUCACAUUUGUAAUGCGAAGGUCAUCGGUUCGAAUCCGAUAACUGGCU